rnacentral:rRNA from 1 species
CCUACGGGCGGCAGCAGUGAGGAAUAUUGGUCAAUGGGCGCGAGCCUGAACCAGCCAAGUCGCGUGAGGGAAGACGGCCCUACGGGUUGUAAACCUCUUUUGCCGGGGAGCAACGGGCGCCACGUGUGGCGCCACUGAGAGUACCCGGAGAAAAAGCAUCGGCUAACUCCGUGCCAGCAGCCGCGGUAAUACGGAGGAUGCGAGCGUUAUCCGGAUUUAUUGGGUUUAAAGGGUGCGUAGGCGGAGCGUUAAGUCAGUGGUCAAAUUGAGGGGCUCAACCCCUUCCCGCCAUUGAAACUGGCGCUCUUGAGUGGAAGAGAAGUAUGCGGAAUGCGUGGUGUAGCGGUGAAAUGCAUAGAUAUCACGCAGAACCCCGAUUGCGAAGGCGGCUUACUGGACUAUAAAUGACGCUGAGGCUCGAAAGCGUGGGGAGCAAACAGGAUGAGAUACCCGAGUAGUC